AAGAGGUGUUUUGAACACCAAGAACUGCUAAUUCCUGUUACUGAAGUU
rnacentral:tRNA from 1 species